rnacentral:tRNA from 1 species
GGGACUUUAGCUCAGUUGGUAGAGCCACUCCACCAAAGGAGAAGGACAGGGGUUCGAUUCCCUUAAGUCCCA